AGAGUUUGAUCCUGGCUCAGGAUGAACGCUGACAGAAUGCUUAACACAUGCAAGUCAACUUGAACUUCGGUUUGGGUGGCGGACGGGUGAGUAACGCGUAAAGAACUUGCCUCACAGAUAGGGACAACAUUUGGAAACGAAUGCUAAUACCUGAUAUUAUGAUUUUAGGGCAUCCUAGAAUUAUGAAAGCUAUAUGCGCUGUGAGAGAGCUUUGCGUCCCAUUAGCUAGUUGGAGAGGUAACGGCUCACCAAGGCGAUGAUGGGUAGCCGGCCUGAGAGGGUGAUCGGCCACAAGGGGACUGAGACACGGCCCUUACUCCUACGGGAGGCAGCAGUGGGGAAUAUUGGACAAUGGACCAAGAGUCUGAUCCAGCAAUUCUGUGUGCACGAUGAAGUUUUUCGGAAUGUAAAGUGCUUUCAGUUGGGAAGAAAAAAAUGACGGUACCAACAGAAGAAGUGACGGCUAAAUACGUGCCAGCAGCCGCGGUAAUACGUAUGUCACAAGCGUUAUCCGGAUUUAUUGGGCGUAAAGCGCGUCUAGGUGGUUAUGUAAGUCUGAUGUGAAAAUGCAGGGCUCAACUCUGUAUUGCGUUGGAAACUGUGUAACUAGAGUACUGGAGAGGUAAGCGGAACUACAAGUGUAGAGGUGAAAUUCGUAGAUAUUUGUAGGAAUGCCGAUGGGGAAGCCAGCUUACUGGACAGAUACUGACGCUGAAGCGCGAAAGCGUGGGUAGCAAACAGGAUUAGAUACCCUGGUAGUCCACGCCGUAAACGAUGAGUGCUAAGUGUUGGUCUCAUAAGAGAUCAGUGCUGCAGCUAACGCAUUAAGCACUCCGCCUGGGGAGUACGACCGCAAGGUUGAAACUCAAAGGAAUUGACGGGGACCCGCACAAGCGGUGGAGCAUGUGGUUUAAUUCGAAGCAACGCGAAGAACCUUACCAGGUCUUGACAUCCCUCUGACCGCUCUAGAGAUAGAGUUUUCCUUCGGGACAGAGGUGACAGGUGGUGCAUGGUUGUCGUCAGCUCGUGUCGUGAGAUGUUGGGUUAAGUCCCGCAACGAGCGCAACCC
rnacentral:rRNA from 1 species